rnacentral:rRNA from 1 species
GACGAACCGUGCGAACGUUAUUCGGAAUCACUGGGCUUAAAGCGCGUGUAGGCGGGACGGCACGUCGGUCGCUGAAAUCCCCCGGCUCAACCGGGGAACGGGCGCCGAUACGACCGCCCUGGAGGGACGUAGGGGGACCUGGAACUUCCGGUGGAGCGGUGAAAUGCGUAGAGAUCGGAAAGAACACCAAUGGCGAAGGCAGCUCGCUGGGACGGUACUGACGCUGAGGCGCGAAAGCGUGGGGAGCAAACAGG